rnacentral:rRNA from 1 species
GACGAACGCUGGCGGCGUGCUUAACACAUGCAAGUCGAACGGACGAGUGAGAUAAGUUUACUUAACUCACAAGUUAGUGGCGGACGGGUGAGUAACACGUGGAUAAUCUACCUGCAACACCGGGAUAACGCUGUGAAAACGGUGCUAAUACCGGAUACGUUCCCUUGUGCGCAUGUAUGAGGGAAGAAAGCUCAGGCGGUUGCAGAUGAGUCCGCGGCUGAUUAGCUAGUUGGUGAGGUAAAGGCUCACCAAGGCGAUGAUCAGUAGCCGGCCUGAGAGGGUGAACGGCCACACUGGGACUGAGACACGGCCCAGACUCCUACGGGAGGCAGCAGUGGGGAAUCUUCCGCAAUGGGCGCAAGCCUGACGGAGCAACGUCGCGUGGGUGAAGAAGGCCUUGGGUGUAAAGCCUGUCUUAUGGGAAGAAGUCAGUGACGGUACCAUAGGAGGAAGCCACGGCUAACUACGUGCCAGCAGCCGACGGUAAAAGUACGUCUACG